AACGCACCUUGCGCCCUUUGGUAUUCCGAAGGGCAUGCCUGUUUGAGUGUCAUUAAAUUCUCAACCCUGGAAAGCUUUUUGUUCUCCAUGGCUUGGAUGUGGGGGUUGCAGGCUUUUCGAAGUCGGCUCCUCUGAAAUGCAUUAGCUGGGUUUGCGCCUUCAGCCUAUUGGUGUGAUAAUUAUCUACGCCUCUUGUGUUGUUAGCGUGUUAUACUUUCCAGCUGCUAACCGUCCUUCAAUGGACAAUUUUUGACUAUUUGACCUCAAAUCAGGUAGGACUACCCGCUGAACUUAA
rnacentral:misc_RNA from 1 species